rnacentral:rRNA from 1 species
GACGAACGCUGGCGGCGUGCUUAACACAUGCAAGUCGAACGAUGAACCGGAGCUUGCUCUGGGGAUUAGUGGCGAACGGGUGAGUAACACGUGGGCAACCUGCCCCAGACACCGGGAUAACCAUUCGAAAGGAUGGCUAAUACCGGAUACGACCACUUCGGGCAUCCGAUGGUGGUGGAAAGGAUUCUGGUCUGGGAUGGGCCCGCGGCCUAUCAGCUUGUUGGUGGGGUAAUGGCCUACCAAGGCGACGACGGGUAGCCGGCCUGGGAGGGCGACCGGCCACACUGGGACUGAGACACGGCCCAGACGCCUACGGGAGGCAGCAGUGGGGAAUAUUGCGCAAUGGGCGAAAGCCUGACGCAGCGACGCCGCGUGAGGGACGAAGGUCUUCGGAUUGUAAACCUCUUUCAGCAGGGAUGAAGCGAAAGUGACAGUACCUGCAGAAGAAGCACCGGCUAACUACGUGCCAGCAGCCGCGGUAAGAC